CACGUAGUUAGCCGGGGCUUCUUAGUCAGGUACCGUCAUUUUUCUUCCCUGCUGAUAGAGCUUUACGUACCGAAAUACUUCUUCACUCACGCGGCGUCGCUGCAUCAGGGUUUCCCCCAUUGUGCAAUAUCCCCCACUGCUGCCUCCCGUAGGAGUCUGGGCCGUGUCUCAGUCCCAAUGUGGCCGUUCACCCUCUCAGGCCGGCUACUGAUCGUUGCCUUGGUGGGCUUUUACCUCACCAACUAGCUAAUCAGACGCGGAACCAUCGUAUACCACCGGAGUUUUUCACACUGCUUCAUGCGAAGCUGUGCGCUUAUGCGGUAUUAGCACCUAUUUCUAAGUGUUAUCCCCCAGUAUACGGCAGGUUUUCCACGCGUUACUCACCCGUCCGCCACUAACUUAUAAUUCACUAGGUUUCGUUAUAAAUCCGUUCGACUUGCAUGUGUUAGGCACGCCGCCAGCGUUCAUCCUGAGCCAGGAUCAAACUCU
rnacentral:rRNA from 1 species